rnacentral:lncRNA from 1 species
AGACACUAGUAAUAAUAACUGAGCUUAAGCAUUUUGGACCGAUGGUUGGGCCUAACAAGUUAUUAUUGCUAGUGGGCUAGGUCGUUAUAUUUGGUAUCAGAGCCAAUCACUAGCCGAAAAUGUGUGGCGAGUCUCGGCUGAGCCAGAGUCUGAAAGAUAAGGUGAUAGGCUAUGCCAGAGUCUGUAUGACAAGGUGACUGACUAUAUUAGGGUCUGGAUAACAAAGCUAGCGAGACGAGUCUCACAUCGCCUGGUAAUCUUAGGUUGUGUGUGUGAUUGGACUGACGAGGACGUCAAGGCCUUAACGGGGGGAGUCUGUCACACCCCAAUAAUCCCACAUCAAAUAGGAAUGGGGAUGUGAUUCAAUAAUCCGACAUUGGAUAGGAAUAUGACUUAAACACUAGUAAUAAUAACUGGGCUUAAGCAUUUUGGGCUGGUGGUUGGGCCCAAUGAGUUAUUAUUGCUAGUGGGCUGGGUCGUUACAUUUGGUAUCAGAGCCAAUCCACCAGCCGAAAGUGCGAGAUGAGUCUUGAUUUAGCCAAGGUCGGAAUGACAGACUAGGCCAGGGUCGGUAAUUGACAGGCCAAGUGAGGGUCGGAAUCACAAAGGCUAGCGAGACAAGUCUCACAACGCUUGAUGAUCCUGGGCUGUGUGUGUAUUUAGGGCUGAUGAUGACGUCAGGGUCUAAACGGGGGGAGUUUGUGACACCCCAAUAGUCCCACAUCGGAUGGAAAUGGGGUUGUCAUUGGGUUUAUAAGAAGACUCUACCAUAGUAAUAAUAAUUGGGCUUAAGAAUUUUGGGCCGGUGGUUGGGCCCAACGAGUUAUUAUUGCUAGUGGGCUGGAUCGUUGACCGGUCCAAAAUGUUUAAACCCAGUUAUUAUUAUUAGUGUCUAAGUCUCUUAUAUACCCAAUCACAUCCCCUUUCAUAUCCGAUAUGGGAUUAUUGGGGUGUGACACUAUGUGACUUCCUAAGUUGGUUACGCUCGGUAACUUUGUUCUUUGACAACCAUCUGCACAUUUGCUCUAGUGUUCAUACACUGUUGAUUCGAGACUCGUCUACUCUAAAAGGAAAACAACAUGUGCAUCAAUCUCACUAGAUCAAUUACCAUCCCAAUGAUGAUCCAUCGAUUGAGAGCAUUUAGGAAUUAACCACCAAUGAUAUAUAUCUCAAAUUCUCAACUCUUGAAAAUAUGUGUUAUCAUCUUAUUAAUUUCUUGGACGAUUUGAUAACACAUAUACAACAUGAAUGAAAAUAAAAAGCCAAAUCCAUUCAUAUUAAUAUAAAAGAUCAAAUAUAUAUUUAUAUCCUAAAAAUAAUAUAUGUGUCGGCCUAUUUGGCUAUUAAGGUAAACAUCUAAAAUAUAGAACCUUGCUCAUUUGUAAAGAUCCAGUACAUCACAUAUAUAAUAUAUAAUACAUAGAUGUAUAUGUAGGUGCACUAUGUGUAGGUAAUAAUUUAUUCUCAGUAUAUAAAUAUAAGGAUUAGACUAAAUUACAGAAAAACUCCUGUCAAAAUUCGAUUUUUCACUUUUCGCCCCUGUCAUUUGAAAACCUACACUUUGUCCCCUUGUAAAAUAAAAAAUGUUUACUUCACCCCCUACCGUUAGUGAUCCGUUAGGGUUCCGCUAUAAAAUAUUUUUUAUGCCAAAAAUACCCUCCGCCUCUACUGUGCUUCGCCCUCAUCGCCUCGCCGCCUCGCCUUCCUUCACUGCCUCGCCCUCGCCCACGUCUCCGUCCGCCCCCACAAACACCCUCUCGGCCUCCUCCGCCCCCUCGCCUUCGCCCUCGUUGCCUUUGCCCAUCUUUCCAUCACCCCCACCUCGAUUUCCUCCCUACUGUCACCAAAAUGGAGGGGCGACGAGGGUGUAGGAGGAGAAGGGGAGCAGGUUGAGAAGAAAAUAGAGAGGAACCGCGGCCGAUCGAUGUGCGAACCAUGGCCAACCGAGGCGGCGGAUGAGCAAGAUGAGGGAGGAGACAAAAAUGGUGAGGGGCAAAAUGGUCAUUUUGUCAUCACAUUUCACACUAUACCCCCUGUGAACAUUUUUUAUUUUACAAGGGGGCAAAGUGUAGGUUUUUUAAAUAAUAGGGAGGAAAAGUAAAAAAUCGAGUUUUGACAGGAGGAUUUUAUGCAAUUCAGCCUAUGGAUUAAAGCAAAACUCUUUUAAAAGUUUGGGGCCCGCCACUAGCAUUAAACUCAGGGCGCGUUUGGUUCGCAUUAUGUAGCAUUACAGGUUAUUUUAAAGAUUUCUGAAUCAGAUUACUAUUGAUACUGUAUUACUACGUUUGGUUUAAUAAAAUAAUAUAAUGCUGGAUUACAGUGUAUAUAGAAUUAUUGUGUUUGGUUGAUUUUAUAAAAUUAGUAAUAUUGACAAUAAAGUGUAGUCUAUUCCAAAAUUGUCCUUAGUUAUAUUUGGUAAAUUUUUUUACUAUUGAUAAAUAAUAAUUUUUUUACUAAAUUUUAUUUAAAAUAAUAAAAAAAUUGAAUUUAAAUUUUAUUUUAAAUUUUAAAUCUGAACAAAAAUAUAAAUUUUAAUAUUUAAUUUAAAAUAUAAAUACGAAAUUUAUAAAUAUAAAAUUUGAAAUUUCAAAUAUAAAUAAAAAUUUAAAAUUUAAAAUUUGAAAUUUAAAAUAUAAAUUUGUAGUUUAAAAUUUAAAAUUUGAUAAUUUAAAGAAUAUUUUAAAUUAAAAUUUUAAAAAUAACGUAUUGACAGAGUUUAUAUUAGGGGAUUAAAGGGUAAACUUAUAAUUUUACAUAAUAUACAAAAUAACUAGCCAUCAGUAAUAUGAGAUACCCAUCCCCCACCAAUAUUUUUGAGUAAUUCUAUACUAUUUGUAAUGUUUUACAGACUGGAUGAACCAAAUAUAGUAAUCUUGACAGAUUAUCUAUAAUCCUUGUGGGAUAACCCGAACCAAAUGCGCCCUAAAAAUUUUGAGGACUCAAAUAAAUUCGGACUGAAAGUUUGGGAGAAUAGUGAUGAAAUUUUAGCCAUUGAAGAUCCAAUUUGAAUUUUUUUAGCUUUCUUGGCCGACAGUGUCUUGCUUAGUUUGGUAUUGAAAUUUAUCUGACGCUAUUAGAUAACAAAUAUAAUAUUUUUUUAUUGUACUUUCUUACCGUACGCAAUACAAUCUUUUCAUAAUAUCAAACAAAGUCUUAAUCACAUUACUCCGUUAAGAG